rnacentral:lncRNA from 1 species
GGGCUCCCUCAGAUCCUUUCCGAGUAACAAACAGAAAAGGGCCAGAAGGCUUGCCCCAAAAGUACCAACGCAGAGGACCUUGCCCCCUAAUGACCAACUAGACACACAGAACCACCCCCAGUCAAUGGGCUCCACCGACGACUCUGCAGACCAGAANCCCCUGAGCCGAGGGACGGCAGCAAGACCCGGCCCAGGGCCCUCUGCAGACCCACCAGCAGCCUGGUGAUGAUGUCCUCGCUGGAGCCGCCUUCCUGCAGAGGGCAGAUGGUGUGGAUGAAGGGCAGGAAGGUGUCCGUGUAGUCGAACAGGUAGAGGUACAGCAGGCCGAGCCUGGGGGAGCUCUUGAGGGUGUAGAGCAGGAACAGAGACCUGCCGGGGUUCACGGCCUGCAGUGGACGAGAAGGGGGGACUCGCUACCCCCCGGCCCCCCCCCACCUCCCCUCAUUCCUUCUGGUCUCCCGUCCCCGCCACUCGCUUCGCCCUAACACCGAAUGAAUGAGUGAGUGAAUGAAUGAAUGGGAAGAAGCGGCCCAGGGAUCCACGUGGCGGGCUGCAUCAUCUGAAGAGCCAGGGUCUGUCCACGCUGGGGAGGGAGGCAGGAUGAGAAGCAGGCUCCUAGACACUGUGAGAAGAGCACAAUCUUUGGGGAAAGUAAUGGGUUGACAUCACUUAAUAAAGACGAUGUGAAAUUCGGAAGGCCUCAUGCACAUUUCGAGUGCUGCACUGUGUACAGCAGAGAAGAUGGACCGUCGGGGACCUCAGUCCUGAAGUGACAUCGGUGUUGAGCCCAGAAUUCACACAGCCAUUGAGGAAUGCACAGAAGGGGCUUUCGAGCUCACAUUAC